rnacentral:lncRNA from 1 species
GAAGUCCAAUGUCCAGUGUAAGAUAUUUCCCUUAAAUUCCAGCUUUAUUUCUGACUUGCUCUAAGGCACUGGCUCAAGCUCUUAACUUCUAUAUUUCAGUUUUUCACUGAAAUAUCAGAAGGGACAAGAUGGGAAAGCUUCAUAAAAUAAUGGAAAAAGCAUGGCAAAAAUUGAGAGAGAGGAUGAGAACUCAAAAGGACAGAGAGAGAAAGACGGAACUCUCUUGAGAGACUGCCUCUGGGGUGAUCACUCAGAUUUUCUAAGGUCCCUGCUGCCCUACUCUAUGACAGAAUUCCAUCAGCUUGAAGACAGCUGGCAGGAGGCUGCUGGAGCAGAUGUGGAAGUAACCAUAGAAGAAAUGGCAUGAAAGCAAAGUGACAUUU